rnacentral:lncRNA from 1 species
GAAGCCCAGGUUGGCUGCCUACAAUCAGAGUCCACAUAUGUUCGGGGGAGGGACCCCAGAAGGCGGCUGACAGUAUUCCUUUAGCCAGAAAUCCCUUCAGGGAAGAGAAAGGUGCUCCCCUUUGCCUGCUUUUAUACUACAGACUGUUUCCAACUCCAGCUAGAAGUGACUAUUGCCGAUUAUGCUAAUCAGUGGCGACAAGCUCCCUUUGACUGCUCACUUCUCCAGUGAGGCUUCAAGCUUCUAGGCAUCAAGAUUAUAUUUUCCAGAAAAUAUUUCAAGCAGAAUAUACUUAUUUUCCAGUUUUGAAAACAACUAGAUUGCCCAUCUCCAUUUCUCUCUAUCAUCUACUGUAUUAUUCUAUGGACAACUGCCACCCUAAUAAGGUCAAGAAGGGAAGCCAGAAGUCAAGGCCACAGAAGACACAGGAAACAUCAUUUCCAAAGUGGGAGACAAAGCUGUUAACAGGAAAUUAUUUGUAAAGUCAAGAGCCAAGCAAAACAGAAAAAGGACAAGAAAUCUAUCACCUGUGGGUAUGAAUGGUUCUAGGGAAGUCUGUUGACAAUUGGAGGGUCUCAAAGGCGCUUUAUGGUACUUAUUUUAUGACCCUGAGUCUGGAGUCUGAUGAAUUAAAGAGGAAAUUCUGCUCUGGGCAACAUUUAAGAGAUAGUAUCUCCAGGCAGUAACUUUCGUAUUAACUCUCAUAAGAUUGAUGCCAUUCUGUCAUCUAAAGUGUGGACAAAAGUAGCAUUAAAG